rnacentral:rRNA from 1 species
ACGGGAGGCAGCAGUGAGGAAUAUUGGUCAAUGGGCGGAAGCCUGAACCAGCCAAGUAGCGUGAAGGAUGACGGCCCUACGGGUUGUAAACUUCUUUUGCCGGGGGAUAAAAAACGGGACGCGUCCCGUCUUGCAGGUACCCGUGCGAAUAAGGAUCGGCUAACUCCGUGCCAGCAGCCGCGGUAAUACGGAGGAUCCGAGCGUUAUCCGGAUUUAUUGGGUUUAAAGGGUGCGCAGGCGGCUUUUUAAGUCAGUGGUUAAAUCGUGACGCUCAACGUCAUCACGCCAUUGAUACUGGAGAGCUUGAUUGCGGUCGAGGUUUGCGGAAUUCGUCGUGUAGCGGUGAAAUGCAUAGAUAUGACGAAGAACACCGAUUGCGUAGGCAGCAGACCAGGCCGUAAAUGACGCUCAUGCACGAAAGUGCGGGGAUCGAACAGGAUUAGAUACCCUGGUA